rnacentral:lncRNA from 1 species
UUCUUUUAUUUUUUCCAUAUUAAAUGAGGAUAGAAGUUAUCCUCGCUGCGAGCAGCAGCAAAGAGGUGACCUCCUCUCCAACCACCGUAAGGGGAGGAGGACACACCUGACUUUUUAUUUUCUUUUAUUUUUUCCAUAUUAAAUGAGGAUAGAAGUUAUCCUCGCUGCAAGCAGCAGCAAAGAGGUGUCCUCCUCCCCGACCACCAUAAGGGGAGCAGGACAGAUCCUGCUUUUGGUUUCUUUUUUUUUCCUCCACAGAAAAUGAGGACAGAAAUUAUCCUCACUGCAAAGCAGAAACAACAAAGGGUGCGGAGGCCCCAACAGAGAUUACUCCGCUCCAUGGAGCCCUCCCUCAACCUUCACCAAGGUUGAGGCUGGAGACAAUCCAACCCCUCCAUCACAGAGGAGUUGGAACGGUGGAUGCAGAGGCCUCAACUCCUCCGCUCCACCUACCUUACUCUACCUUAACCUACUCUACCUUAACCUACUCUACCUUAACCUACUCUACCUUAACCUACUCUACCUUAACCUACUCUACCUUAUCCUACACUACCUUACCCUACUCUACCCCAGAACCACACCAAAUUUAUCCCCUGUCCCCCUCCCCACACCACAUUAGGGGAGGAGGACAGAUAUGACUUUCCUCUCUUAUAAUAGUUAUAUAUAUAUAUAUAUAUAUAAGUAUUUAGAUAAUAAUUAUAUAUCAUUAAGUUAAUGAGGAUAUCCUCAAAAUUUGGAAAUUAUCCACAUAGACAUCAGUUCCUCCAGGCCUCAACAAGGUGAGCACAAACAGAGAUGAUCCUCUCCCCCCACCCUCCCCAAUAAUGGGGAGUGCACAGAGUUAACCUGAGCCUUCAUCUCCACACAGGUUGAGGCUGGAGACAAUCCAACCCCUCCAUCACGGAGGAGUUGGAACGGUGGAUGCGGAGACCUCAACUCCUCCGCUCCACCAAUCCUACUCUACCUUACCCUACUCUACGUUAUCCUACUCUACGUUAUCCUACUCUACGAUGUCCUACUCUACUCCAGAACCCCGCCAAAUUUAUGUCAGACUUAUCCUGUCCCCCUCCCCA